rnacentral:rRNA from 1 species
AAAUGAAUAGACGGGGGCCCGCACAAGCGGAGGAACAUGUGGUUUAAUUCGAUGAUACGCGAGGAACCUUACCUGGGCUUAAAUGUAGAGUGCAUGAGGUAGAAAUACUUCUUCCCUUCGGGGCUCUUUGCAAGGUGCUGCAUGGUUGUCGUCAGCUCGUGCCGUGAGGUGUCGGGUUAAGUCCCAUAACGAGCGCAACCCUUAUCGUUAGUUGCCAGCGGGUAAAGCCGGGAACUCUAACGAAACUGCCGGUGUAAACCGAGAGGAAGGUGGGGAUGACGUCAAAUCAGCACGGCCCUUAUGUCCAGGGCUACACACGUGUUACAAUGGCCGGUACAGAGGGCAGCUACCUGGAGACAGGAUGCGAAUCUCGAAAGCCGGUCUCAGUUCGGAUCGGAGUCUGCAACUCGACUUCGUGAAGCUGGAUUCGCUAGUAAUCGCGCAUCAGCCACGGCGCGGUGAAUACGUUCCCGGGCCUUGUACACACCGCCCGU